rnacentral:rRNA from 1 species
UACAGAGGUGGCAAACGUUGUCCGGAUUUAUUGGGUUUAAAGGGUGCGUAGGCGGCUUUGUAAGUCAGUGGUGAAAUAUGUCAGCUCAACUGAGAGGGUGCCAUUGAUACUGCAGAGCUUGAGUACAGAUGAGGUAGGCGGAAUUGACGGUGUAGCGGUGAAAUGCUUAGAUAUCGUCAAGAACACCUAUAGCGAAGGCAGCUUACUAGGCUGUAACUGACGCUGAGGCACGAAAGCGUGGGUAGCGAACGGG